rnacentral:lncRNA from 1 species
AAGAGGACUAAAAAUUCUUAUGAAGGUUCAAGCAAGCACCACCUAUGAUUUUGCUCAAUCAUGCAUAUAACACUGUUAUGACUUAAUCAUUGACCACCUGCAUUCAUAAUGGGGAAGAUAAGAAUAAGAGAUAUAAAGAAAAGAAAGGAUAUGUUUGCUACAUACUUAAAUUGAUCCUUCUAGCCUACUAAUAACAUACAUCAGGGCAAUACAUGUUAAUAGCGGCUCCCAAAAAGACUUAGCAAUGCUGGUAGAAUGUUGAAUAAAUCAUUAUGACUUAAACUUACAAAAGGCCAAUACAUUACCUGAAUUGCUUGUGGUAGAACUGAGAUUCGACUGGUUCUGUGAUAGAAAAUGAAGAAGACUGAAGGGAGAGGACUUGAGAAAAAGAUAAUUAUACUAUCGUAAGAUUGACAUAGCAACUUUGUGCAAGCAAAAGAAAAGAGAGAUUAGCUAAAUGGUUAUAGCAGAAUUGAUAUAUAUGACAUUUUGUUCCUAAUCUCUAGUUGAAAAUUUUACCUCUCUCUCUCUCAAUUGCCAAGCUUUGUAUGUUAAUUAAAAAUUUUGAUUUUGUGUUCAAUUAGAAGUUGAACUCGCUAUUGUAAUUAUGUUGCCCAAGGCUAUAAAUUGGGAACAACACGUUAACUCUCCGUGCAACAUGUAUAGGACCUGUCUUUACUCUUAUUCUUCUUCUUCAUUCACUGUUAUCCGCUGAGAAAACAUGAUACAAUGAAAAUACACUGUAAUAGAGGUGGAAGUAGAGCCAAAUUAAUAAAAAAAGAUUUCAAAUUGGGAACUGAUUAAGAAACAAUUACAAUCAAAGAUUUUGGAAACCAAUGAUUGACUCAUAGUAUAACAGUAUUGAUUAUUAGAAAGAUCUCUAAUUUGAGGUUUGCAAUUUCCAACCCUUUGAUUCGAUCACUCAAACCCAUCCCAAAAAAAAAUUGUGAAGGAAGACUUACUAAAGAAAGAGGCAUAUGGGUGCAACUACAGCGGGAAAUUGAAGAUUAAAGCUAUAAUUAUUCAGCUGGUUGGGAUGAUUUCAAGUUUCAACCACCAUUGAGAGAAAGAUGAUCGCAAUAUGACUGGAGGUUAUACCAUCAUCUUAGCACGGGUAGCAAAAUCCCUUCGUCCAUUGCUAGGUUCCACACCUUUAAGCUAAAUUUAGUAGCAAAUUUAGAUGAAGAAGGAUUUAUAGAAUUAUGGGUCUGUUUGAUUGGUCGUGGGAAAUAUUCCCACGUCAA